GACGAACGCUGGCGGCGUGCUUAACACAUGCAAGUCGAGCGGUAAGGCCCCUUCGGGGGUACACGAGCGGCGAACGGGUGAGUAACACGUGAGCAAUCUGCCCUUCACUUCGGGAUAACCACCGGAAACGGUGGCUAAUACCGGAUACGACCACUUCCUGCAUGGGAUGGUGGUGGAAAGUUCCGGCGGUGGAGGAUGAGCUCGCGGCCUAUCAGCUUGUUGGUGGGGUAAUGGCCUACCAAGGCAACGACGGGUAGCCGGCCUGAGAGGGUGACCGGCCACACUGGGACUGAGACACGGCCCAGAGUCCUACGGGAGGCAGCAGUGGGGAAUAUUGGACAAUGGGCGAAAGCCUGAUCCAGCAACGCCGCGUGAGGGAUGACGGCCUUCGGGUUGUAAACCUCUUUCACCUGUGACGAAGCGAAAGUGACGGUAGCAGGAGAAGAAGCACCGGCCAACUACGUGC
rnacentral:rRNA from 1 species